rfam:Stegodyphus mimosarum contig11800, whole genome shotgun sequence.
GCCUUCGUGGUGUAGUGGUCAGCACGCUUGACACGUAACCAAAAGGUGCAUGGUUCGAUUCCCGGCGAAGGCG